AGUAAGGUCACUUUCCAAGUUCAAAGAUCAUUCUCAGCACACACUGAGAACAUGCUGGGGACCCUCUGCACUCUCAUCAUUGCUUUAACAUGUAUGAAAGGUGUGAGAGGAGCGACUGUGGUGACACAGACGCCUCCUGUUGUGACAGUGAGGAAAGGAGAAACGGCCACCAUGGACUGUAACCUAGGGAGUGAGACUGGCCAGAGUGCCCGAUGGUACAGACAGAUCCCAGGAGAAGUUCCUCUAUAUAUGCUUCGAGUUCGUCAUGACUGGAGUGCACCCAAAUAUGACACUGGGUUCCCCUCUUCAAGACACACGGCAACUCAUCAGUCAACAUCAGAUUACCGUUUUAGAAUUAGCAAUGUUGAAGAAGGAGAUUCUGCAGUUUAUUACUGUAGCACAUGGGACAGCUCUGCUAAAGAGUACGUAUCACAGUGAUUCACACUGUUACAAAAACCUCCUCAUUAACACUUCUGCUUUUGCUCUCACUGAGAUGCAUGGACUGACAAUGUAGCCACCAGCAAGAGUUUCAGUCAACACAUCAUUAUUUGUCAGUAUCUGCACUAUAAUCUAUUUUUCUAUAAAUGAAUAAAACUAGCAGAUAUUACUGUUUAAUUACAAUAAUGUUAACACCAAUUACCCUUGUUGGUACAGACAGAGCCCAGGCAAAGUUUCUACCUGUGUUUUACAAAAUUUGACACUGGUUCCCAUCUCAAGGACACACAUCCAGUAUCGGUCAACACCAGAUUAUUGUUUAAUUAUCAGAAGUAUGGAAGAAGAAAGAAAUUUACUAAUGAAAAACUGAGGACACCUCUGUCGAUGAGAAUUGAAGUGAUUCAAACAUUCAACAUCUUGAAUUAAAUAGUAACGGUUUUAAUAAUCUCAGCAUUGGUUUUUGAGAUUUUACAUCACCAAAAGUAAAAAAACAUAUUCAAAAAAUAAUCAAAUUAAACUUAUUAAUACUGUGCUUAUUAUCAAAUGUCAUUCCAUGAAAUGUGUUCCCAAGUGCUAUGACUUAAUCUCUAGAAAAAGUAAUCUGAUGUCAUUCACAUAAAUGUGAUUUUGGUAACCAAACAUUUUUUGUAAAUGAUGA